GUCCAAUCCGACCUGAGGAGUCACAGUUGUGAGCAAGUUCGGUGCCGCGGGCUGGGGUAGGCGGCAGUGGGGUCCCUGGCUUUGGGGCACUGGGAAGAUCGCGAGUGGGAAGGUCCUCCCGCGGUCCUCCGGGUCAUCUUUCCUCCUGAGGAGCAGCAUAUUUCGCAUCUGCCGGAGAUUAGAAUUACUUGUUAUUGGUAAAUAGCCACUAUGGAGACUAAGGACCAGAAGAAACAAAGAAAGAAAAAUAGUGGACCCAAAGCUGCAAAGAAAAAGAAGCGGCAUCUGCAGGAUCUCCAGCUAGGAGACGAAGAAGAUGCCUGGAAGAGAAAUCCCAAAGCUUUUGCAUUUCAGUCUGCUGUGUGGAUGGCUCGAUCCUUUCACAGGACUCAGGAUUUGAAGACAAAAAAGCAUCAUAUUCCAGUGGUUGAUCGAACUCCACUAGAGCCCCCACCAAUAGUGGUAGUGGUGAUGGGGCCUCCAAAGUUGGAAAGAGCACUUUGAUACAAUGCCUCAUUCGGAACUUCACCCGGCAGAAGUUGACCGAGAUCAGAGGCCCUGUGAUGAUCGUGUCAGGUAAAAAGCUCCGACUCACCAUUAUUGAAUGUGGGUGUGACAUUAACAUGAUGAUUGAUCUGGCUGAAGUAGCAGAUCUGGUAAGUGAGCAGGGGCAGCCUGGGGUGCUGAUGGAGACUUACAGCAUUGUGAUAGGUUAUUUACCCCGUGAUGAAGGGAAUAGAGUUUUAUGAUUAUUAAAGGAAUCAUGGUCAUCAUCAAGGAUACAAUAGAUGUGAUUGAAUUGAUGAUAAUAAUAAUAGUAAUAAAUGUUGUUAUAUUAAUAAUACAAAUGGAAUGUGUACAAUAAAAUGUAUUCCAAAAUCUAAAAGCAAAUCACAGGAUAGAGAAAACCUUUAAUGAACACAGCUAAUAAGAACUCAUUAACAUGCAUACAUAUAUACCUACAAAUAUAUCAUAGUAAGUACCAUUUCUUCUUGGACCCUUCCUGGCACUGUGCUAACUGCUUUCUACAAAUUUAGCUUACAUAAACCCUUGAUACACCCUUGAGGUGAGUAGGUAUUAUCUGUAGUUUACAUAAGAUGAAAUAGAGCCUCCCAGCAGUUAAGUAACUUGUGUGAAGAUGGGACCCUUGUUCCUAAUGGUUCUAGAACCUUUAUCCUUAGUGAUAAUAAGUAAGUACAUGAAUUGCCUGAAGAAGUGGUCAGAGUUUAUCAUAGAAAAUCUAGAUAGUACUCAGUGUGUGGAAAAAUGUACACGCUCUUGCAUUUAUGGAAAUGAUAAUGUUCACUAUUUCUGAUAUUCUAUUAACUAUCUUUUUUUUAAACUAUCUUUUAAAUUAACUAAAAUAAAAUACAAAUUACCAAAAAAAAAAAAGAAAGAAAGAAAAAGGCCAGACGCAGUGGCUCAUGCCUGUAAUCCCAGCACUUUAGGAGGCUGAAGUGGGCAGAUCACCUGAGGUUGGGAGUUUGAGACCAGCCUGACCAACAUGCAGAAACCCCGUCUCUACUAAAAAUGCAAAAUUAGCUGGGUGAGGUGGCUCAUGCCUAUAACCUCAGCUACUUAGGAGGCUGAGACAGGAGAAUUGCUUCAACCCGGGAGGCGGAGGUUGUGGUGAGUCGAGAUCCCGCCAUUGCACUCCAGCCUGGGCAACAAGAGCGAAAUUCCAUCUCAAAAAAAAAAAAAAAAAAAAGCAAAAAAUAAGCCAUAUUGAUUAGGAAGUGUGGGAUGACAGAUACCUUGGUUUUUUCAUUUUUAUUUAGUUUUUUCUAGAGCUACAGAUUUCAUACUUUGGCCCAGGAAGACUCCUAAAAUAUAAAGUAAAAGGUAAUACAGAUUUUAAAGUCGUGCCAUUGUAAUGUCUGUAAUGUCAGAAAACUAAAUAACAUUCAAAUUUUGAACAUGUAAUGCUACUAUUAGUAAAAAUAAGUGUUAUUAAUGUAAAGUUGUGUAAGGAUUACUAAAUCUUGUAUACUUGAAAUGAUUGAAUAGUUCAUAGAAGUCAUUUGUUUCUCUUUUAUUUAAGAUGUAGCAAGUUUCUAAUUUUAAAGACAUAUUAAGAGAUGCCUUUACUUUUUUUUAUUUUUAGUUAUUAUGGAUACAUAAUAGUUGUACAUAUUUAUGGGGUACAUGUAGUAUUUUGAUAGAAGCAUACAAUGUGUGAUGAUCAAAUCAAGGUAAUUCAGAUGUCCGUCACUUCAAACAUUUAUCAUUUUUUUGUGUUGGGAACAUUUCAAUUUCAUUCUUUUAGUUCUGAAUUAUAUAAUAAAUUAUAGUCACCCUAUUGUGCUGUUGGACACUAGAAUUUAUUCUAACUGUAUUUUUGUACCUGUUAACCUUUCCCUCUUUUUCCCUCCCUCCCUGCUCCCCUUCCCAGUCUCUUAACCAUCAUUGAGAGAGAUGCCUAUGUAAAUCUUUUUAAGAUUUUCAAAAGGAGCACACACAUUUGGUAAAGCACUCUAACUGUAAUGCAGGGUAUACACAAUGCACAUUUUCUUUUUCCUUGCUCUAAGGCUGGUCUCUCAGGUCCCUGCAGAGCAGUAUCCUUCCAGAUACAUAUAAACACACAUGCCACCCUUUAAAAACACAAAUGGUAGCUUAUUUUACACGCUGUUCUAUGCUUUGCUUUUUUCAUGUAAUAUAUCUUGGAGGUAUAUAAUCAGUAAGUACUGUAGCUCUGCCUCCUUCUUUUUAAUAUAAUAUUCCAUUCUGUGGACGCACCAUAAUUUAUUUAGCUUAGCUUAUGUUGAUUGCUCUGCUCUGGGUUUUCAAAGCCUCCUGAGUACAGCAAAGGCACAAACGAUAUGUGGAUUUGGGUGUGUACGUGUGUGUGUGUGUGGAUUAUGGGAGUAACACUGGCUUAGAUGACAAAGAUUGGCAGCUGAGGGACUGUUUGCUCCCUGUUCUUCCUGAUCCUACAACCAGCUGCUUGCCCCUUGGCACUCUGUGGCAUCAGAUGUGGUGUGAGGAUAUUCCACUUAUUCUUUGAGCUGGUCCACUGUUGCUGGAGAGCUCUGCUUGCUGCCUCGGUUUCCAGAGGCAUCUGUGCUUUCCUACAAGCCCAACUUCAUAUAUUCUGUGGUUUCGGGUUUUGAAUGUUUCCUAGUUUAAUCAAAGAUGGGCAUUUCUGUUUCCAUUUUUUGUUAGUUUUAGUUAUCCAUGGAAAGAUAAAAACAGAACUAUCUUUAAUAUUAAAACUAGAAGUUUCCAGGAAUCAAUUCUGAAAUUUGCAUCUUUGAAGUGUCUUAAUUUUAAAAAUUGGUCUUAUCUGCUUAUAUUUUCUUAUAGACUACCAUUCAUCGUAAUCUUACUGUUUUUUGACUUAAUUCUAAACUGGUAGCUAUUUAAAGAAAUUCCUGAGCAAUUGAGUUAUACAAAUUAACAUACAAGAUAGAGGUAUACACUGCAUACUUCCCAGCAAAAAAAGUUUUUUUUUUGUGAGGACAUUGAAAGAAGAGGUUGGUUUUCUGUACAUAUUAAAUAUAUUUCAUUGAUUAUCACUUUCUUCCCAUUCUUUGGAUGUCAGAGACCUGUUAUUUGGCUUAAAAAUACAUUAUAGAAAACUUCAUUUCUUUAAAUUAGGAUUUCUUAGGUACGGGCCUGGUUAGAUCCAGCCUUUUCUGAGUUACUUCUCAUGCAUUAGAAUUCUUAAAAUGGAUGUUUAUAUCCUAGUGGCCUUGUCUUAUGGUUGCCUUUUAGAGCAAGUCAGAGGGUGGUGGUUUCUCUGGGUGAUGCCUGUGUAGUCAUUUGAUUUAGUCUGGAGUGGGACUUUUCUGUCGAGGGCCAGAUAGUAGAUAUUUUCAGCUUUGUGGAUCAUAUCUUUUGCAGCUACUUAGCUCUGCAGUUGUAGUGCACAGGCGGCCAUAGACGAUAUGUAAAUGAAUUAAUGUGGCUAUGUUCCAAUAAAACUUUAGUUACAAACACAGGUGAUGGGCUGGAUUGGGUCGAUGGGCCAGUUGCCAACCCCUAGUGUAGGUGGUCUGUUUUGGUAGUUUCUUUGAGAAAUAAUGUGUUCUGCUUGUAGGUACUGAUGCUUAUAGAUGCCAGCUUUGGGUUUGAAAUGGAAACGUUUGAGUUUCUAAACAUCUGUCAAGUACAUGGCUUUCCUAAAAUUAUGGGAGUUCUCACCCACCUCGACUUCUUCAAACACAAUAAGCAACUGAAGAAGACAAAGAAGCGAUUAAAACACAGGUUCUGGACAGAAGUUUACCUGGUUGCCAAGCUGUUCUGCCUUUCUGGAAUGGUGCAUGGAGAAUAUCAAAACCAAGAAAUGCACAAUCUGGGCCAUUUUAUUACAGUUAUGAAGUUUAGGCCUCUCACAUGGCAGACUUCUCAUCCUUAUAUCCUGGCAGACAGGGUGGAAGAUUUGACAAACCCAGAGGAUAUCCAAACAAACAUCAGAUGUGACCAGCAGAUGUUACUUUACGGUUAUUUAAGAGGAGCGCACUUGAAAAAUAAAAGCCAAAUUCACAUGCCAGGACGAGGUGGGGCCCACCCAUGAGCUGGUCCAGAGUCUCAUCUCCACCCACUCCACCAUUGAUGCCAAGAUGGCUUCAAGUCGAGUGAUGUUGUUUUCUGAUUCCAAGCCACUUGGGUCAGAGGCUAUAGAUAAUCAAGGGUAAGUCUGCUUUUUUUCUAUUUUUAAUAAAAAUAUAUAUUACAGAAGAUCAUAUCACCCAUAAUUCUGCCAUCAUAACACAUUUUGGUGGGAUUCAUUCUAUGUUGUUUUGUUUUUCUUUGUGUGUGCAUGUGUCUCUGAGGGCUCUUCACUUACCUGACAUUAUGAGGGAGUCUUUUCUUGAAAUAAAAUACAGGAUGCAUUUUUCAAGAGACCCCAAAUAUUCCUCAAAUACCACGCCAUCUUCCAUAGGUUGCUUUUUUGUUUUUUAAGAGACCUGAGGCCACUUGGCUUUCUUUUGGUGGCCAAAACACUAGAGCAGAAACAGGGAGUUUGUGGCUGUCCAGAAGCCACAUGCCUUGUCUCUGAAAGUUUUAUUUAGAUUAUGUUGUAUUAUCUCCUAUGGGUAGGUUUCCACUGAUGUGUGGCUUAUGUGAAUUAUUUUUCAGCCUUUCUUGGGAAUUUGUAUACCUUUAUGCUUAGUGGAUGUUUGCAAAACAUUGGUUUUGUUGUAUUAGUUUAUGACUCCCAGUAAAAUUUAUCUGAAAAUUUUGAGAUAAUCUAGUAUGUAAUUUGUUACAAUGUGCACAAACUACGUACUAAAGUUCCUGACAUAAUGAGUGUUAUUAGCUAUUUUCAUUUUUGCAUAUCCUUCUGGUCAUCCUUGUCUACAAGAAUACUCUCUUCUAAUAUAGUUACAGGUAAAAUACAUAAUUUAUUUCUAUAUUCUGAGCGUUUUGUUUUCUAUACAGUCUUUAUGUAGUUGUCAUUUUGUUGUUCCUGGUGUUUUUUUUUGUUACUGUGGUUUUUUUGUUUUGUUUUGAGAUAAGAUCUCACUUUGUCUCCCAGGCUGGAGUGCAGUGGCGUGAUCUUGGCUCACUGCAGCCUUGAACUCCCAGGCUCAAGUGGAUCCUCCCUCUUCAGCCCCGCAAGUAGCUGGGACUACAGGAGUGCACCACCACCCCCAUCUAAUAUUUUUUUGUUGUUAUUCUAGGGACGAGUUCUCACUAUGUUGCCCAGGCUGGCCUCGAACUCCUGGGCUCAAGCAAUCCUCCUGCGUUGGCCUCCCAAAGUCCUGGGAUUACAGGUGUAAGCCACUACGGCUGGCCUAUUAUUGCUGUAUUCUAACUUAUUCAUCUCCUAUGGUACGAUUUUUCAUUUUUUCUAAUUUAUGUUUUCAUACUUUUAUAUAUCGUGCUAUGUUAAAUAGCUUCAUAUAGUUUUCUUUUAUGCAGUGAUUUUAGCCUCUUGAUGAUCUUCUUUAUCAGUUAUGGCACUGGUGACUUAAAAUGGAUGUUCUUCCUCUGUCAUUCCUCCGACGUUUGUUAGCUGGCAUUUUUAACAAAGAGCUUUCACUUCUCCUUUUUAUUUCGGUAUCUCUGCUGACUAAUGCACUUGCAUUUUAUUCCAUGGGUUAUUUUCCAUCACUGUCAUUGUUCUUUCUGAUGCCUAUGCUGUCCCAGAUUCGACCGUGGGAGCCUUCAGCCUGUGUCCUGUGUCCUUUCAACUGUCUCUAUUAAUCUUUGAGCAUUUCUUACUUUCUCACAGAACAAAAGUAUCCAGGCUUAUGUUGCCCUCUUUCUGCCUUGGGCCUGGACUCAGCCAUUUCUCUUAAGGAUUAUCUUAAGCAUCAUUUAGCUUAGAAAUUAAUCAGCUUUCCAAAAGAUGUACAAAAUGCUAACUUUCCUUUUGAGCAAUUUUUUUCUAAAAUUAGAUUUUUUUUAGAGGAUUAUUCCUUUAUUCUUUCUAUAAGUUCAUUUGAAGUGUGGUGUUAGGAAACCAUGCCUGAGUUUAACUCUUCCAGUGUUUAUCAGAUCAUUUUUUCCCUGUGCUGUAUCAUCUUAAACAUCUUAAACAAUUCCUUGACAUUUUUAUAUUUCUUUGUAUUUUCAUUGACUGUAUUGCCAUUUCUAGAUUAGCUGGUUAAUGUACAAAUUGGAUUAUUUUGCAUUUCCUUGGUAAUAUAGGCUGUUGAUGCUAAAGGAGGAAAAACAAAUGGACUUGAAAACUGGUCGAAUGCAUCGGAAAGCCAUUUUUGGAGAUGAUUCUAUGCUAACAUCCUCUCUCCUUUCUUGAUCUCUUAAUUUUUUUUUUCUUACCCAAGUAUAUACAGGUUGAUUUUGUCUUUCUGGAAGAUCCAAGAUCUUUGGUUUAGAGAUAUAUUCUCUUAAUGUUAACUGGUAUUAGAAUACUCUUUUCUGUAUUUUAUUUCAAUACACUUGAGAAUAGAAAUGAUUGUAUUUUCUUUUAACUUGUGCAGUAGAGUGUGGCAUACAAAUGUUGUAUUCUCAGUAUUUCAAAAAAUUACCUUCUUACUGUACAAGUUGUAUUCAGCAUAUAAAGUCUAUUCCAGCUUUGUUGUAGAUGCAGUGUGAUUAUUACAUGCCGAUAAGGUAUGAAUUGGAGAUGGGAUCCAAAAUUACUGUACUUAGUGUAAUUUUUAAGCUAAUUACAGGGUUGGUGGUGAAUAUUUUACUUCUGCAAAAUGAAAACAGCAUUUCAUCAGAAGUUGUUUUAUGGUCUUUCAGACAUUUUAUUGUAUAUCUUUGGUGCUUUUUGCCCAUGAAGUAUCUCUUUUGUGUGUUUGUGUGUAUGUGUAUUGAUCUGCUGUAAAUUUCACAGCACUCAUUGUCAGGGAUCAGCAGAAUCAGGCCUAGGCAGAGAGCUGAGCAGUACUCUCAGUACGUCUCUGUGUCCUUGUUGCCACAUUAUCUCUGUUGUUUAUUUAUAAGUUGGAGAACUCUCUGACCUGUAACAAAGGUUGGAUAGGUCAGAGACAAUUGGGAGAGGAAUCCUCUGCUCUAUUGUCACCUGUGCCUCACUCCAAAAUAUGCUCUGAAAUCAAUAUUUAAAUAUUAAAUUUGUAUGGUGAAUGUAUUCUUUUUUAAUGUUAAUUAAAUGAUUGGUCAGCCCACUUAAUAUUUACAAUGCAGGACUUACUUUGCGUAUUCUCUGUCUUGUAUUUUUGCUUUAUUUAAGCUAGGCUAGCCUCCAAGCUGGAAGCUGAAUUGACAGUUGAAAAAUAAUGACAUGUAUACAAGGUAUGUUUGAAGGAUUGCAGAUGCAGGGGCACCAUAUGCUAAAGGAGUGUUGGAAGCUCACUGCAGAAGAUGACAAAAGCAGACUGAUAUGUAUUAUUUGCUGAAAUAUAAGCUGGAGGCACAGGUGAAGAUUGCCAAACCUAAUGAACAGUUUGGCAAAUAAGACAGGCUGUCAGGCCAUGGCAGUUCAGCAGUGGGCGUGCUGCCUGUGAACCAAGUCAUUUGUUCCAGAGGACUACACUUAAAUACCACAAAUAAAAUCUUCCUUGUCACUGAUAUCACAGUGAAAUAGAUGUUGUCUUUCAGAUUUCUGGUUGAAUUACCAGCCAUUAACAUCUGGUGAUUUGGGUUGUAAAAUUAUUUUUAGUUUUGCCUGUUCAUAUUUCAUCCAGAAAGCCCAAACAAGAUAUAUUUUCCCACAUAAGAAUGUAAGCAGUAUAAUGCCCCGUCCGGGAGGGAGGCGGGGGGCAGCCCCCACCUGGCCAGCCGCCCCUUCCAGGAGGGAGGUGGGGGGCGCCUCUGCCCGGCUGCCCCGUCUGGGAUGUGGGGGGGGCCCCUCUGCCCGGCCGCCACCCCGUCUGGGAGGUGUACCCAGCAGCUCAUUGAGAACGGGCCAUGAUGACGAUGGCGGUUUUGUCGAGUGGAAGGAGGGGAAGUGUGGGGAAAGGAAAAAGAAAUCAGAUUGUUGCUGUGUCUGUGUAGAAAGAAGUAGACAUGGGAGACUCCAUUUUGUUCUGUACUAAGAAAAAUUCUUCUGCCUUGGGAUGCUGUUAAUCUAUGGCCUUACCCCCAACCCCUUGCUCUCUGAAACGUGCUGUGUCCACUCAGGGUUAAGUGGAUUAAGGGCGGUGCAAGAUGUGCUUUGUUAAACAGAUGCUUGAAGGCAGCAUGCUCCUUGAGAGUCAUCACCACUCCCUAAUCUCAAAUACCCAGGGACACAAAAACUGCGGAAGGCCGCAGGGUCCUCUGCCUAGGAAAACCAGAGACCCUUGUUCACAUGUUUAUCUGCUGACCUUCCCUCCACUAUUGUCCUAUGACCCUGCCAAAUCCCCCUCUCCGAGAAACACCCAAGAAUGAUCAAUAAAUACUAAAAAAAAAAAAAAAAAAAAAAAAAGAACACUGCAAGAACAUCUGCCCCAGAACUGCCUGUCCAACCUGGACUGACAUCAUCCUUGUUAUUGAUCUUUGUAGCCAAAUAUAAUUAUUUUAAAACAAACAAAAAAGAAGAAUGUAAGCAGUAUAAGACUUUAAAACACACAAAUGAAAAAUAUACAUGACUACAUGCUUCAGUGAACUAAAACUUUCAUCUGUGAUCUUUAUUUUGCAACGUUCUGAAGUAACAUUACAGUCUUUUCAGUGUGCUGUGUCAUUUAUAUCCCUUACUUUAUCCUGGGAAUCCUGUAUUGCCAUUGAGCAUAUGCAAAUUGAGACAUGUGCAUAGCUUCUCCCCGUUGAGCCCAUCAGUGGGGAGGAGCUAUGUACCGGGGACAUUUGGCAAAGAUUUUCAUGAGUCUGUUGGAUGUAACAGCUCCUUAAGAAAACCUCAGUUUACCUUCCCUAUUUUUUACCAUUUGUAAAACUAAGGCUCAGUGAUGUAAAAUAUAACACAUUCUGUGCUGUGGCAUAACUGCAGCUUAGGUUUUUAUAUUCAAGACAAGCAGAGGUAUAGUUGAAAAGGUAUGAACACUUAUUAUGCUUCAAGAUCCCUUUGUUGGUUUAGUUGUGGCAUUUUAGAACAGCGGACUUGGGACUAAAGCAUCUUUCUAUCUGGGAUCAGUAUUUCUAAGUUGCCUUUAAGCUGAAUAAACAUUUGGUUUUUAUAUUUAAUUGCUUCGAUGUGAAACACUGCAAUUUAAAAAAUUACACAUAUGUAAUACAGUAUUUUACACUAAAUAAUAGUGACUGGCAGUCCAUUGGCCGAAGAAGUAUUAUUUUUCAGAUAUUCUGCUCUGUCAUCAGCUGUAGACACUGACCUGGUAUUUAUCUGGAAAGGCUUGCUGUCAGGGGUUCACAGUGCUGCUUGUGGGUUAUCUCCAGACCCUUUACAUACAGCACUUUAGGACAGCGUGAGUCACAGGUUGCACUAGAAUUUGCCUUUGAAAUUAGACCUAAACUAUGUGGAACUGGAACCCUUGUACACAAAGCUCUCUAUCAUCCAAAUCCUGCUGAACUCUCUUAGGAAAGAACAGUUUUACAGAUUCAUUCUUUCCACACACAAGAUUUCCCCACUGCCCAGUUACUCUCACCUUUUUAUUUUCUUGACUGUUAUGUUUUACUUGACGCUGGAAUCUUACCUUGUACUCUCACAUUUACAUGGAAGUAUAGCUUAUUUCACCAAUUAUACUGUCUAUCAAAAGCAGAAGUAGUUACUUACACCUGAAAAUUUGUACUGAGAAUGUAACUGUGAAUAUGUUUAAGAAAGUAUACUUAAAGCAGAAAUCCAAGGAAGUAUAUUUAAAUCAAAGCAAGAAAUCCCAUUUCCAAAUGGCAAUAAAGCAUGUGUUACAUAGAAUCAGUGCAUGAAAGUGUUUUAGUAGCCCAGAUUAGAUUGUACCCUGGCAAAUAAGCAAGAGUUCUUUUUCAUUUUCAUCUUGCAAUUCAACUGGGUAUUUGGGUUCUUUUUCUAUUCACUCAUGUCAGAUAGAGACAUACAUGUUGUAAAUUAUUUUGUCAGAAUGAAAGCCUGGCAGAUUAAAUGCUUUCUUCUCUUCUUGCUUUACUUGAUAUCAAUCUCUUGUUCAUUUCUUGAUAAUAUGUUUGGUUAUUUUUGUUUUCAUUGCUUUUAGUGUCAGAGAUGGCUUUGGAUUCCCCGUUCUGUGUGCUGCUGUCUGGCUCCUGAACCCAGCUGUAGAGGUGUGUCAAUCCCAACUGGUGAAGUACUGAGAGGAAGCUACACAAAAGGCAGCAAAGUAUUAGUGAGUGGUGUCAUUGAGCAAACACGAAGUCGGGCUCAUCCAAGGAUGAGAUUUUGCCAGAGAAAGGACGAGCAGCAAGUCAGGGAGCUUAAGGUGGUGGAAAGGAAAUCCCUCACAGCAACUGGCACCAUAAUCAAGACAGAAUGUUUGCAGAAUAAAUGGAGUUACCUGCUUUCAGCCCCAGGUUGUAGCUAUUGUCUGCCCUGAUGAUAUGUGAUAAUAAUUUGUGAUCCUAUUGUCUUAAAAUGGGGUCACUCAUCUCCAGUAGAAUUAAGUCCACAGUGAAGUUGUCCCCCCAUCCCCAAAGAGAUAAACAUAUAUGAAUGAACUCACAUGAUAACAACUACUGCUGCCUGGGAUCAUGAGAGACCUGAACUGAACUGAUAGGAAGUGAAAGGUGGCUGAGAUAAUGAGAAUAGACCCAUCUGCAGAGGAUCAUAAAACCAGCAAAGACAAGAUCUUGUCUAAGAUGCCUUCACAAACUUUGUCCAUGAGAACUCUAAGGACUUCUCCAGACCUGUUGGCUGCUGCUGUGAUCUCUGCCCAAGAGGAGCCUCUGACCAACAUCCAAAGGGCUUCUGGACCCACUGGACUCCUCUGGAGGUACCUUGGUCUCCCGAUCCAUGGCUGUGGUUUUUUACUCCGUUUAUCACUCCUGUGUGUAGAAUGAUAAUUGCACAAUUGAUAGUGUGAACACCUCUUGAUAAAUGGUAAAUCUGAGCAUAUGUAUUUGGCUGACAUGUCAUUGUGAAACCUCACAGCUUCAGUCAGUGUCAGCACAGCUAGGGAGCAUGUACCUAAUGCACAUAUCACUGGGCAUAGUCUACAGGCACCUAAUAACUCAGGUACCUUAACAGUCACUAAUGAGUGUCUCUCCAAGGUCAAAACAAUGGAAGACUGUAGAAGAUGCUAUUCAUUAAGAUAUCUCAAGAAUGUGGAAGACUAUUAUUCGCUUCUCAUGGGACAGGACUUUAUAGGGCACCUGAAAAAACUCCCAUGAAAAAUCACUUUUACAAAAUGUCAAGUUAUGAUAUCCAAGAUGAAACCAAUGAGUCACAACAUUCACAUAAUACACUGUACAACCCUGAUCUCUUGACUGUCAUCAAAUGUUUCUUACCUCUAAACCAAAGUUUCAUUUUAUAAUUUAAUUUUUCUCAUUUUUUCUGUUCUCUUAGCUUAAGAAAAGAUCAUUACAAACUUUUUGUAUGUUUUUCAUAUAUGCUUGCAAAGGGUUGUAAAACUUUAUUGUGAUUAUUCUUGCUUUAAGCUGAAACUUCCCUAAUCUUUCUUUAGAGAUUGUGGCAUAGCAUGUUAGUUUCUUUUCCAUAUCCAAUUGUUUUCUGUAAUGAAUACAGAAAUAUGGGCACUAUUUUGUAACUUUAAAUAGACAUCAUCUCAAGUCUACAAGAAUUAUCCAAAAUGGUAUUUAAUGACAUUUCUAGGUCUUCAGACACUAUUAAUGUAGAUUGUAGCCUCUAGGUCCUGAGGAUUUUUACUGGAUACUGGUUACUGAAACUGAGCUUUCUUGAAUUCUUUUUCCUUCCACUGUGGUUUCCCGCAUUUCAACACAUCACCUAUUUUUGUCCUCAAACGUUACUUAAAUUUUUUCCACAGAAUUAAAUUAAAUAUGAAUCAUCCCUCCUCUGAUUUUUGAAAUGACCCUUUGCUUCCUAUGAUAAUGAUUCUUCUGGUCCGUUUUGUAGUUAUAUGUUAGAGUUUGUAAAUAUUCACACAUUUUGCAACUGCAUAUAAUUUUCUCAUUUUUUCCUCUUCCUCUAAAGCUGCUGUUAUUUCUUUUAACUUUUUGUGGGAAAAAUUAAACCCAUCUUUCACUUUGUUGAUAUUUAUAAUUGAACUCCUUGAUUUUUGCUUGAAUUGCUUUUCAAGUUACCCACUUUUAGGGAAGACAUUAUUUGGGUUUUGUUUAGUGUAUCAGGCUUUUUUUAGUUAGUUGUAUCAAGAAGUGUAGACUUUUCUAUACAUAAUAUCCUUUUUCCCACAGUAGUUUUUUUUUUUUUAAAGUCUAGCCGGGUGCAGUGGCUCACGCCUGUAAUCCCAGACUUUGGGAGGCCGAGGUGGGCAGAUCACGAAGUCAAGAGACCGAGAACAUCCUGGCUAACACAGUGAAACCCCGUCUCUACUAAAAAUACAAAAAAUUAGCCGGACAUGGUAACGGGUGCCUGUAGUCCCAGCUAAUCAGGAGGCUGAGGCAGGAGAAUGACAUGAACUCAGGAGGCAGAGGUUGCAGUGAGCCGAGAUCGUGCCACUGCACUCCAGCCUGGGUGACAGAGCAAGACUCCAUCUCAAAAAAAAAAAAAAAAAAAAAGUCUGUUAAAAUAAAGGUCAUCAAAAGAUCUUUUCCUAAACCUUUCCUUUACCAGAAAUAUCUCUAGAGUCACAUGGUCCUUUCUCCCUUCUUGCUUUUGUAGGAGUCCAAAGCUAAUCUGUCCCUGAUCCGGAUUGCAUGCACCUGUGCCUUUUGGGGCCCUUCUGCAUUAGUUCUUCCUUCUCUUCUAACCUCAAAAAUGUGUUUUCUCUGUUGGCUCUUUCCCUUUAACAUAGAAGUAUACUCACGCUUUUGUUGAAUCUUGGAAUAAAAGUCUUCCUUUACCACAUAUCUCCCUUUAAUACUACAUCUCUCUUCUCAGCCAAAUACUUGGGAAGACAAGCCCUGAGUUUGUGUGAUUGUUUUCUCACCUCCAGUUCACUACUUUGAACAGGCACUGUGCUAGGUGCUGCUGUUAUAGAUAUGAAAAGAAGGCAUCAUCUCCUUUCUAACAACUCAUAGGAGCAGCCAUUCCUGAUUCAUACGCAGGUCUCUUGAUUCUCAGUGCUCACUUUUGCAAGCUUCACUUAAUGCCGUGUAAAUCACCCUAUUCUCCAGGUCUUCUUUCUUCCCAGUUCUCCUUACUAUACACAACUUCUCAAGGCAGUCACCUCCACGCCCAUGGCUUCAAUUGCUUUCUCCAUUCUCUGAGAACAAUAGAAUUUUAAAUGUUUUUUUUUCAUGUAUUAGUUUUAUUUUAUACAAGGUGUCUCACUUGCUGUAACCAUAGAUUCAAAGUUGCUCCAUGAAACUAAUAAAUGAAAAAUGGUGAUUUUUUAGCAUGUAAAUUUUAGGAAAUUUCCCCAGUUACACUUAAUGGCUUGAUUUAGUAUGUUAUUUUUGAAAACAUAUGUUGGGAUGUCACAAAUGGACUUAGCCUACAGAGAUUUAUAUUCAACUUUUGACCAGAGAGUUCCAUUUUAAUGUGACACUGAGAGUAAAAAACUAUCUUUUCCUCCUUACCUAUUUCUCUUCCUACAUUCUCGGCCAGGAGGAAGGCACUGCUACAUACCCAGUCUUCCCCAGCAGAGCCUGAGCAGCUCUGUUUUCCUUCUACUUCCCCUCUUCUUUCACAUCUCAUGACCAAGCACUUCCUAUUCUGUCUCCCAAAUGAUCACAGAUUUUUUCCUCCACUUUUGUCACUGCCACUGCCCUUAGCAUUACUCUGCCUUUAGAGAAAGUCUCUUAAUUGGUUUGGUUGCUUCCUUCAGUCCUUAUUAUACAGACCACUACACACACAUCUGACAGAGACUUUUCACCUUUUUAUGGUUCAAUGACUGAAAUUCCCAGAAUAAAAUUAAAACCACCCCAGCAUCAAAUUUGAGGUCAAAUAGAGGUGGAUUUGUAUCCCAGGUUCAUAUACUAUCCAGCAGUAUGGUCUCAGAAAACUGACCUCCUUAAGCCUUUGUUUGUGUAUCUGCCUACACUCAUUGAGAGUUGGGACUAUUUCACACAUACAGUGCCUGGCAUGUAGAAGGGACUUAAUCAAUGUUGAAAGAAGGGGAGGCAUUUUAAAAUCCACAUCAAAAAAAUGUUGUUCUGUUCGGGAGUGGUGGCUCAUGCCUGCAAUCCCAGCACUUUGGGAGGCCAAGGCAGGUGGAUCACCUGAGGUCAGGAGUUCGAGAUCAACCUGAGCAACAUGGUGAAACCCCAUCUCUACUAAAAAUACAAACAUUAGCUGAGCAUGGGGGCGGGAUCCUGUAAUCUCAGCUACUUGGGAGGCUUAGGCACUUGAAUGAGAAUCACUUGGACCCAGGAGGUGGAGGUUGCAGUGGGCAAUGAUUGUGCCACUGCCUGGGCAACAGAGUGAGACUCUGUCUCAAAAAAAAAAAAAAAAAAGUAAAAAAAAUUCUUUUAAAAAUAUACGAAUCUGGCUGGGCACGGUGGCUCAUGCCUGUAGUCCUAGCACUUUGGGAGGCUGAGGCAGGCCAUGACCAACAUGGAGAAACCCCGUCUCUACUAAAAAUACAAAAUUAGCCGGGCAUGGUGACGCAUGCCUGCAAUCCCAGCUACUUGGGAGGCUGACGCAGGAGAAUCGCUUGAGCCCGGGAGGCGGAGGUUGCAGUGAGCCAAGAUCACGCCAUUGCACUCCAGCCUGGGCAACAGGAGCGAAACUCCGUCUCAAAAAAAAAAAAAAAAAAAAUAGUGUUCAGCAAGGUUGAAGCAUAAAACGUUAAUAGCCAGAAUCAUUUAUCAAUUGUAUUUCUAUACAUCUACAAGACACAAUCUGAAAAUGAAAUUAGAGAAACAAUUUCACUGGGCAACAAGAGCAAAACUUCAUCUCAAAAUAAUAAUAAUAAUAAUAAUAAUCUACAAUGUCAUUUCCCAUCCAAGCUUGACUUCUACCUUUACUUUCUGAUGUGGUUUUGCCAUGUCCCCACCCAAAUCUCAUCAUGAAUUAUAAUCCCCAUAAUCCUGAUGUGUUGAGGGAGGGGCCUAGGGGGAGGUGAUCAGAUCACGGGGGCAGUUAUCCUCAUGCUGUUCUUGUGAUAUUCAGUAAGUCCUCAUGAGAUCUUAUAGGGUUUUGUUUUGUUUUGUUUUUUAG
rnacentral:lncRNA from 1 species